AUUCAAGUAGUUUAAUAAAAAUUAAGAUUUGUGGAUUCUUAGAAGCUUAAUAGGUCUUGAAUA
rnacentral:tRNA from 1 species